rnacentral:rRNA from 1 species
AUUGAACGCCGGCGGCAGGCUUAACACAUGCAAGUCGAGCGGAGUGAUGGUGCUUGCACUAUCACUUAGCGGCGGACGGGUGAGUAAUGCUUAGGAAUCUGCCAUUUAGUGGGGGACAACAUUCCGAAAGGAAUGCUAAUACCGCAUACGUCCUACGGGAGAAAGCAGGGGAUCUUCGGACCUUGCGCUAAAUGAUGAGCCUAAGUCGGAUUAGCUAGUUGGUGGGGUAAAGGCCUACCAAGGCGACGAUCUGUAGCGGGUCUGAGUGGAUGAUCCGCCACACUGGGACUGAGACACGGCCCAGACUCCUACGGGAGGCAGCAGUGGGGAAUAUUGGACAAUGGGCGGAAGCCUGAUCCAGCCAUGCCGCGUGUGUGAAGAAGGCCUUUUGGUUGUAAAGCACUUUAAGCGAGGAGGAGGCUCUCCUAGUUAAUACCUAGGAAGAGUGGACGUUACUCGCAGAAUAAGCACCGGCUAACUCUGUGCCAGCAGCCGCCGUAAUAC